UGUUACUGACGCUCAUGCUCGAAGGCGCGGGUAUCGAACAGGAUUAGAUACCCUGGUAGUCCGCGCGGUAAACGAUGGAUGCCCGCUGUGCGCCCCUGAGGGUGCGCGGCCAAGCGAAAGCGUUAAGCAUCCCACCUGGGGAGUACGCCGGCAACGGUGAAACUCAAAGGAAUUGACGGGGGCCCGCACAAGCGGAGGAACAUGUGGUUUAAUUCGAUGAUACGCGAGGAACCUUACCCGGGCUUGAACUGCAGAGGAAGGAUCUGGAGACAGUGACGCCCUUCGGGGUCUCUGCGGAGGUGCUGCAUGGUUGUCGUCAGCUCGUGCCGUGAGGUGUCGGCUUAAGUGCCAUAACGAGCGCAACCCCUCUCCCCGGUUGCCAUCAGGUGAUGCUGGGCACUCCGUGGACACUGCCGCCGCAAGGUGGAGGAAGGUGGGGAUGACGUCAAAUCAGCACGGCCCUUACGUCCGGGGCUACACACGUGUUACAAUGGGGGGCACAGCGUGCCGGCGCUCCGCAAGGUGCGUCCAAUCAUGAAAUCCCCCCUCAGUUCGGACUGGGGUCUGCAACCCGACCCCACGAAGCUGGAUUCGCUAGUA
rnacentral:rRNA from 1 species